AAGAAGAUAAAUUGAGGCUGCUAACCACAAUUAGGGUUUAAUCCACUUCUUU
rnacentral:tRNA from 1 species